UUUCUCGAAAGUAAAAGAUCUAAAUUAGUUUGUUAGUUUUUGUGUCAAAAAAAUUAAGGAGAUGAAUUUAGGUGUGAUAUGUUUAUCGUUUUUACUGAUAUCUAGUAAUUUCAGAAAUAAAUUUAGUUUAGGCUUUUGAGAAUUUCUUAUUUUUUAUAGGGUCUUAUGUCUUAGGGGAUGAGCUCUAGGAUAAAUUUAAAAGAAAAUAUUUGUAUUAAGUUUUUAGUAGGCUUAGAAUUGGUCAUAAGAUAGUGUUAUAAGAUAAAAAUUUAAGAUUAUAAUUUAUUUUUCUUUAAAUUUUAUGGGAUUAAAUGUAAAAUGAAAUAGAAAUUGAAAAUAUGAUAAUAUAAGUAGAAUAAAAUUUAAAUUUUACAUAGAGGUGAAAUAUAAAAUUUGUAACAAAAGAACUCGGCAAAAAAGAUUUCCGAAUGUUUAACAAAAACAUUUCCUCUUGAUGAAGGGAGGUAAGGCCUGCUCACUGAAAUUUAAAGAGCCGCAGUAUUUUGACUGUGCUAAGGUAGCAUAAUCAUUAGUCUUUUAAUUGGAGACUGGUAUGAAUGGUUAAACGAGAAAUCAACUUUUUUUGUUAUAGAAAUUGAAUUUAAUUUUUUAGUGAAAAAGCUAAAAUAUUUCAGAAAGACGAGAAGACCCUAUAGAGUUUUAUAUUUAAGAAAAUUUUUUUCUAUUAGAUUUUUUUGAAUAUAAUUUUUGAUAGUAUUUUGUUGGGGCGACAUUAAGAUAAAAGAAACUCUUUAUUUUUAAAACUUUAUUUAAAGAAUUAUUUGAUCCUUUAAAAAAGAUCAAAAGAAAAAAUUACCUUAGGGAUAACAGCGUAAUCUUUUUUGAGAGUUCUAAUCGACAAAAAGGUUUGCGACCU
rnacentral:rRNA from 1 species